rnacentral:tRNA from 2 species
GCCGUGGUGGUGGAAUUGGUAGACACGCCAUCUUGAGGGGGUGGUGAGCUAUGCUCGUGCGGGUUCAAGUCCCGCCCACGGCA